ACGAACGCUGGCGGCGUGCUUAACACCUGCCAGUCGCGCGGAAAGGCCCUUCGGGGUACUCGCGCGGCGAACGGGUGAGUAACACGUGAGUAACCUGCCCCAGACUUUGGGAUAACCCUCGGAAACGGGGGCUAAUACCGGAUACGACACAGCUUCGCAUGGGGUCUGUGUGGAAAGUUUUUCGGUUUGGGAUGGGCUCGCGGCCUAUCAGCUUGUUGGUGGGGUGAUGGCCUACCAAGGCGACGACGGGUAGCCGGCCUGAGAGGGCGACCGGCCACACUGGGACUGAGACACGGCCCAGACUCCUACGGGAGGCAGCAGUGGGGAAUAUUGCACAAUGGGCGGAAGCCUGAUGCAGCGACGCCGCGUGAGGGAUGACGGCCUUCGGGUUGUAAACCUCUUUCAGCAGGGACGAAGCGUAAGUGACGGUACCUGCAGAAGAAGCGCCGGCCAACUACGUG
rnacentral:rRNA from 1 species